ACUGCUCCUUAAAAAUAAACAAAGCCCCACUGCUGUUCAAUACAAGACAUCCUCUCACAGGUCAGCUGGGGCCAAUGCAUGCUAUCUUCACAUCCCUCCUGAUGCAUACCUGCUGAGCAAAAGCCUGUGCAGGAAGGAGUUAAACGAUGAGGGAAAAAAAAGAGGUCUGGUGCCCCAUCUGAAUCCCAGGAGGUAGGCAAUAAAGCAGUAGAACUGGAAGUAGGCAUGAAAAAGUAGGAUACCAUAGCAAUUUGGAAUUUAUCAGACCACUGGAAUGUCACGAUGGAUAAACACUGUAGAGAAGGGAACUGAAGGAGUGGGUGAAUUAGGGCGAGAUCAGGCGAUCAACAUAGACUAUAUAUUCUGAAUAAAGAGCCUGCAACUGGGAAAAAUAAUAUCUGUUGUUGUGGAAUGUAAUUUCUGUAGAAAAACCAACUCUAUCCAGAAAUGAAAGCAUAGCCUUCAGCUCAUCCUCCACACCAGCAAAUGGCUGUCCUAGAUUAGAAGGUGAAAGAGAACAGGUGAUGACAUGUUUAAAGUAGAUCAUGAGUGCCUCUGAGACAGCUGACACCAAGCAGAGAGCAUGGAGGAGUUCUCCCUCUGAAAAACUGGAUAUGGAUUUUGCGAGCAGGAGAGAAGCCCAGAUGCAUGAGCAUGGCAUGCAGCAGCAGAUGCUGGGGAUUCUGAAGGAACAGACAGACAUGUUGGGACAUCUAGUAGAACUUCUGGAGAAACACCAUGAGGGUAGACUCCCUCCGCAGCCCCUGCAGAAAGGCAUUCCUGCAUAGACAUAUUCCCUUUCCCCCUCUCCCAAACUUUCCAGGAGGCAAGGGGGUGGGGGCGGUGUGAGAGAAAAGCUCUCUCUCUUCUACUCCAUACCAGAGAAGGGUACUAGCAAUAAAAGGCUACUGUAUCUAAAAGACUAGAUCAAUGUGUUUUUCUCCUUCAAAUUUUAUUCUAAUGACUGUCCAAGGUUACAUUCUUUUUUUUUGAUCUUUCACUUCCAAUAUGUUUGUGCAAUAAAAGUCCAGGUCCUGAGAAUGAAAUAAUCGUUAUUAGUUCACACCAUGAGGGAAGGAUA